GCAUCCGUAGUAUAAUGGAUAGUAUAUCAGAUUCCGAUUCUGACGAUAUGGGUUCGACUCCCGUCGGGUGCACAG
rnacentral:tRNA from 1 species